CAGUAAGACCAUGUCUCAAACAAAAACAAACAAAAAGCCCAAAUCAACCCAAAAAUCCAAGAACAACAAACAGAUAACAGUAAGUAAUAGAAGGCAAAGUCAAAAAAAAAAAAAAAACAAAAACCCAAAAAACAAAAAACCAAACCCCACUAGCUAACCAUUACCCUGUUACUAAGUGAGUCUGAGCUCCAUGUAUGCAUACCAUUUAGGGUGUAAAGAAGUAGGCAUGGAAUACGGACACCUAUUUCCUGCGUGUCUCAUGAGAGCCGAUCUCUUCCAAGAGGCCUCAAGAUCAAGUUAAAAUUGAGUUUCCUUUAAGAAUUUCAUGGGCGGGGCUGGGAUGUAGCUUGGUUAAUAGAGUCUUUGCCCCGCCCAUACUCCGUGCGUGCCCCAUGGGUUUGAUCCAAGCUGAAGCUCAGGCAUUCACUUCAAAAUAAGAGCACUGGAGACUCAGAGUCCCGAAAAGGAGGCAGUUCAUUUUCUAUCUUUCCUAAGUCCGGCGGGAGCUCUGGGUAGAUGGAGGCGGACGACAAUCUUCAUAGCCCUAGACAGGCUGCUCCCUCUCCUUCCUCAUUAGCUGAAUAGCAAGCAGGUCGCAGUCGUGUAUUGACUGAGUCACUUGCAUAUAUAUCUUUUUUCCCCCUUAACAAAAGUCCUGGGGGAGACUCUCCACCUCUUUCUUACUUCCUGUUCAUUUUCAAACUUAAUGGGUACCCCACUGCUGAGAGGGGGAAGUAGACACAAGUCCCCACCCCUAACCAAGAUAACCACUUGCAAAGGAAAAUUUAAUUUCCGCCAGCAGAGUCUCAAAGGGUAUAUGAACCACACUUAAAGGCAAUAAUAAAAUGGCGGCACCACAGGAGUUGAAUCUAAAAGCUGGGCAUACUUCAGAAACUUCAGCCCAAGAUUGUUGACCCACUCAUUG
rnacentral:lncRNA from 1 species